GGGGUUGUGGCUCAGUGGUAGAGCGCUCACCUCACACGUGCGGGAACCUGGGUUCGAUCCUCAGCAUCACAU
rnacentral:tRNA from 1 species